rnacentral:misc_RNA from 1 species
GAUGAAGAACGUAGCGAAAUGCGAUAAGUAGUGUGAAUUGCAGAAUUCAGUGAAUCAUCGAAUCUUUGAACGCGCAUUGCGCCCCAUGGUAUUCCGUGGGGCAUGCCUGUUCGAGCGUCAUUUACCCCCUCAAGCUCCGCUUGGUGUUGGGCGUCUGUCCCGCUUCGCGCGCGGACUCGCCCCAAAGGUAUUGGCAGCGGUCGUGCCAGCUUCUCGCGCAGCACAUUGCGCUUCUCGAGGCACCGGUGGGCCCGCGUCCAUCAAGCUCACCCCCCCAGUUUGACCUCGGAUCAGGUAGGGAUACCCGCUGAACUUAAGCAUAUCAAUAAGCGGAGGA